UACAGAGGAUGCAAGCGUUAUCCGGAAUGAUUGGGCGUAAAGCGUUUGUAGGCGGCUUUUUAAGUCCGCCGUCAAGUCCCAGGGCUCAACUCUGGACAGGCGGUGGAAACUAGCAAGCUGGAGUACGGUAGGGGCAGAGGGAAUUUCCGGUGGAGCGGUGAAAUGCGUAGAGAUCGGAAAGAACACCAACGGCGAAAGCACUCUGCUGGGCCGACACUGACACUGAGAGACGAAAGCUAGGGGAGCGAAUGGG
rnacentral:rRNA from 1 species